rnacentral:rRNA from 1 species
UACGUAGGCAGCGAGCGUUGUUCGGAAUUACUGGGCGUAAAGAGUGUGUAGGCGGUGUUCCCAGUCUGUUGUGAAAUCUCCCGGCUUAACUGGGAGGGUGCAGCGGAAACUAGAAUGCUAGAGGGUGGGAGAGGUAAGCGGAAUUCCUGGUGCAGCGGUGAAAUGCGUAGAUAUCAGGAGGAGCACCUGUGGUGUAGACAGCUUACUGGACCACUUCUGACGCUGAGACACGAAAGCGUGGGUAGCAAACAGG